AAUAGAUACCCGGGUAGUCCACGCCGUAAACGAUGCGCGCUGGAUCGGGGCCGCUCUGACGCGGUCUCGGUCGAAGUAAAAACGUUAAGCGCGCCGCCUGGGGAGUACGGUCGCAAGGCUAAAACUCAAAGGAAUUGACGGGGGCUCACACAAGCGGUGGAGCAUGUUGCUUAAUUCGAGGCAACGCGAAGAACCUUACCUGGGUUUGACAUGCACGGAUUAACUCCUGGAAACAGGAGCCACGCCCGCAAGGGUGGAACGUGCACAGGUGCUGCAUGGCUGUCGUCAGCUCGUGCUGUGAAGUGUCGGGUUAAGUCCCUUAACGAGCGCAACCCCUGUCGUUAGUUGCUAACGGGUAAAGCCGAGUACUCUAGCGAGACUGCCGGUGUCAAACCGGAGGAAGGUGGGGAUGACGUCAAGUCCUCAUGGCCCUUACAUCCAGGGUUGCAAACGUGCUACAAUGGUGCGUACAGAGCGACGCGAGGCCGCGAGGCGGAGCAAAUCGCAAAAAGCGCACCCCAGUUCGGAUUGCAGGCUG
rnacentral:rRNA from 1 species